rnacentral:rRNA from 1 species
UACGUAGGGUGCAAGCGUUAAUCGGAAUUACUGGGCGUAAAGCGUGCGCAGGCGGUUCGCUAAGACCGAUGUGAAAUCCCGGGCUUAACCUGGGAACUGCAUUGGUGACUGGCGGCUAGAGUAUGGCAGAGGGGGGUAGAAUUCCACGUGUAGCAGUGAAAUGCGUAGAGAUGUGGAGGAAUACCGAUGGCGAAGGCAGCCCCUGGGCCAAUACUGACGCUCAUGCACGAAAGCGUGGGGAGCAAACAGG